AACUGAUGAAGUUGGAACAGGUAGCCAACACCUUUAUGGAGAUGCAGAUUACCACCUGCCAUCAGUU
rnacentral:ncRNA from 1 species